CCCUGAUGUGUGUUUGAGGUUCUGGGGAAAUUGGGAACAUGUGGCAGUGUUAUCCAGAAUAAAUUUGGUCUGGUAGCCCCAGCCCUGCCCUUUCCUCCGUGUGGACCAGCUUCAGAGCACCUCAGGCAGCUCUGUUACACCUCUGAGUAGUUUUGCAGAUGCUGACUGAGAGAUCGUGGCCCUGCUGGAACACAGAAGGCUGAGAGCACAGAUAUGACAUCAGAAUUAGACUGUUUUUCCAUGGAUAUAUGCUUAACCGAGGCACAGAUUUACUGCAUGACUUUGGAUUUAAAUCAGUUUACAGGCAGUAAGACAGCAUCUUUUUUUUUGUCCAAGGAUUUUCAGUUGCCUUUUGCUUCCCUUAUCACUAGCAGAGCUGUGUAUGCUUCCAGCCGGAGAUCAGUGACCCUAUCUACUGGCAUUUCAUUGAUCAGCGCCCCUUGGACUCCAUUUCUUCUCAGUUAGUUGACAUCUGGCGACGUGUUUUGUUAAUAGUCAGAUCCAAAAGCGAGUAACACCUGAUAAUGGGAACUCUGGGACAUACUUCUGCUUUUGGGUGUGUGUACAUCUGGACCCAAAUAUGAAAUGUAUUUCUUGCUCAUGCGCUCCCAAAUAAGUAACAGAAAUGCAAGUAAGUGAUAACUGAAAUGUGUUUAUCUUCUCAGUGCCCCUGAUUACAAAGCAAGCUUGCCUGUUUGCAGGUAAGGAUGGCU